GAUGAACGCUAGCGGCAGGCCUAACACAUGCAAGUCGAGGGGCAGCGCGGGUAGCAAUACCUGGCGGCGACCGGCGCACGGGUGCGUAACACGUAUGCAAUCUGCCUUAAGCUGGGGAAUAACCCGGAGAAAUCCGGACUAAUACCCCAUGGCGCGUAAGAGUGGCAUCGCUUUUACGCUAAAGAUUUAUCGGCUUAAGAUGAGCAUGCGUCCUAUUAGCUAGUUGGCGGGGUAACGGCCCACCAAGGCGACGAUAGGUAGGGGUUCUGAGAGGAAGGUCCCCCACACUGGUACUGAGACACGGACCAGACUCCUACGGGAGGCAGCAGUGAGGAAUAUUGGUCAAUGGGCGAGAGCCUGAACCAGCCAUGCCGCGUGCAGGAUGACGGCCCUACGGGUUGUAAACUGCUUUUGUGCGGGAGCAAACCCUUCUUUGCGAAGGAGGUUGAGAGUACCGCAGGAAUAAGGAUCGGCUAACUCCGUGCCAGCAGCCGCCGUAAAAC
rnacentral:rRNA from 1 species